rnacentral:lncRNA from 1 species
CGUUAGUGUCUGUGUGAAGAAGGGCACAUACAUCUGAAUAUCCUCAGUGCAAAAUGAAAAUUAUUUAUUUGGAAGUUACAGUCUAUUAUUACAGACAUUUUCCUUUGGUUUAUUUCUUUUAUGUAUGGCUCUCCCAAAUUUCCAUUUUCAUACUAUUUUAUACUUUUUAGUAAGAAUGAUUUAUUCAUUAUAUGCAUGUAUUUACUUUAUGCCCUUGUAAAAUUUCCUUAUAAAUAUAUUUUUAAAUUAUGCUCUCAUUGACAGACCAUGUGUCCCAUUUGUGGUGUGGGAAGUAUCAUCAACCAUUGCUUUUGUACAGCAACAAGAAUCAGAUGCUCUUUAGAGAUCCUCCAUUUCAUUACUCUAACAUUCUUCAAUGUGGUUCCAGCCACGCAUAGUCAUAUAGAUACUACAUAUUCAAAGAUAACUUACUGAAGCUUGUUCACAGAACCAAGCUUUCUCCUGAUAGCUCUUCUUCCCCUACCCCGCACUUCUGGAAGUAUUACCCCAAAUGCUCUUCAGGAUUUAAAUAACAAUUUUUAAAAAGACACUUAACACCACAAAAUGGAAUUUGCUGGCAUGACGCGAACAAUACGGUUACUCCAGAUGCUGUAUUCAAACUGUAUGGGUCCGUUGAAAAAAUAGAUAUAACCAUUUUUCUCAUAGACAGCAUCUACUUUAUCACCAAUUCCUGGGAAGUCUUCUUCUAUUAGUCUCGGAUAGUCUUUAUCCAUAAUAUGGUUAGUAUCAUCAUAUCUCCAGACCUGGUUUCCUGAGAACAGGAGAGUCUUGCCUGUAUCCUCAAAGUGAACAGCUGCACUUAUCUUCUUAACUUCUUUUGGAAGACCCAGUUCAGAUAUUUUUUUGGGAUAACCUUCCAGAAUGUCAUAACCAUUAAGAGCCCAAAAUUUUCUACCUCUGAAGAUGAAGAUGAGGUCAUGAGAAGGGUGCUCAUAUGCAGCAUCAAUACG